CCGCCAUUAGCUCAUCGGGAAGAGCGAAUGACAUGAUAACAGGGUUGUUGGUGCGGGGUUCGAGUCCUCGAUGGCGGUCCA
rnacentral:tRNA from 1 species